rnacentral:tRNA from 1 species
GUGGCUAUCGUUCAAUGGUCAGGACUUUGGUUUGUGGAACCAAAAAUGAGAGUUCGAUUCUCUCUAGCCACC